rnacentral:other from 1 species
AAUUGACAGGAAGAUGCGAGACCGGCUUCUUAUAAAACCGACUAAAGUAACGAUAAGGGAGUCUUGAUCAGUUACCCGUGUUGAAUGCCUAAAUAAACUUUUUUAGGAAUCCUGAAGGUAGCGUACGGACACCCACCUGUGGGAACGCGCAGGUUUUAUCGUUUGCAAGGACGCUCUGCCUGUUUUUUU